rnacentral:rRNA from 1 species
AUUGAACGCUGGCGGCAGGCCUAACACAUGCAAGUCGAGCGAGCGGCGGACGGGUGAGUAAUGUCUGGGAAACUGCCUGAUGGAGGGGGCUACCUACUGGAAACGGUAGCUCAUCACGCAUCCCAUCAGACAUGCCCCGAGGGGAUUAGCUGGUGGGUGGGGUAACGGCUCACCUAGGCGCCGAUUCCUUGCUGGUCUGAGAGGAUGACCAGGCACACUGGAACUGAGACACGGUCCAGACUCCUAUGGGAGGCAGCAGUGGGGAAUAUUGCACAAUGGGCGCAAGCCUGAUGCAGCCAUGCCGCGUGUGUGAAGAAGGCCUUCGGGUUGUAAAGCACUUUCAGCGGGGAGGCGUUACCCGCAGAAGAAGCACCGGCUAACUCCGUGCCAGCAGCCGCGGUAAUAC